rnacentral:rRNA from 1 species
UAACCUGCCCAAGAGAUCGGGAUAACACCUGGAAACAGAUGCUAAUACCGGAUAACAACAGAUGAUGCCUAUCAACUGUUUAAAAGAUGGUUCUGCUAUCACUCUUGGAUGGACCUGCGGUGCAUUAGCUAGUUGGUAGGGUAACGGCCUACCAAGGCGAUGAUGCAUAGCCUAGUUGAGAGACUGAUCGGCCACAUUGGGACUGAGACACGGCCCAAACUCCUACGGGAGGCAGCAGAU